AUUCUGUCAUGAGGACAAUACGGUACCCUCAUCUCAGAGGAUUGGGAUGUGCCCUUCAUGGCGUUGAGGGAGGAGGCAUUUAAGCUAUGCAAAAUGCGAUGAGAAAUAAAUUCACCAAGCAGCAAGAGUUGUUCCUCCACGAGAAAAAAACACAGACAAGACCGCUUGUUUCAAUGAGAGAGACAUUUUAAAAGGAAAUACUACAAGUGUUUAAAUCUCUGCUGUCUAACACAGUACUCAAGCCUCACACGGCUGUUGAACAUGGCAAGACUGAGUAGAGAUGUGCCCAGGAGUAAAUCAACACAGCAGAUUGCCAAGACUUAAGAUAGAAAAAAGGUAAAAUAUCACAUUAAUAAUUUUUAUAUUAACUGUGUAUUGCAACAAUAAUAUUUUGAAUAUAUUGAGUUAAAUGAAAUAUAUUAUUGAAAUUAAUUUCACCUGUUGCAUUUACCUUUUAAAAAAUAUGGCCGCUAGAAAUUAUUAAAUUAUGUGUGUGG
ensembl:lncRNA